CCCCACCGCUAUCGGGGUGGGACUAAGCCAUGCGAGUUGUGCGUCCCCGGGCUAUGGCGGGCAUGGCGCACGGCUGAGUAAUACGUGAUCAACCUACCCUUAAGUCGGGGAUAAUCCCGGGAAACUGGGGCUAAUCUCCGAUAGGUGAGAAAUCCUGGAAUUGGGUUUUCACCGAAAGAACUAUCGAACGUCUCGAUAGUUCGCUUAAGGAUGGGAUCACGACCCAUCAGGUUGUUGGUGGAGUAACGGUCCACCAAGCCCAUAACGGGUAGGGGCCCUGUGAGGGGGAGCCCCCAGAUGGACCCUGAGACAAGGGUCCAGGCCCUACGGGGUGCAGCAGGCGCGAAAACUCCGCAAUGCGCGAAAGCGUGACGGGGUUAUCCUGAGUGCUUCCCGCCAAGGGAAGCUUUUGCCCAGUGUAAGAAGCUGGGCGAAUAAGCGGAGGGCAAGUCUGGUGUCAGCCGCCGCGGUAAUACCAGCUCCGCAAGUGAUGGGGAUCUUUACUGGGCUUAAAGCGUCCGUAGCUGGUCUGAUAAGUCCCUGGUUAAAUCCGGCGACUUAAUCGUCGGGCUGCCGGGGAUACUAUCAGACUAGGGGGCGGGAGAGGCCAGGGGUAUUCCUGGGGUAGGGGUGAAAUCCUAUAAUCCUAGGAGGACCACCGGUGGCGAAGGCGCCUGGCUAGAACGCGCCCGACAGUGAGGGACGAAAGCUGGGGGAGCGAACCGGAUUAGAUACCCGGGUAGUCCCAGCCGUAAACGAUGCACCCUAGAUGCUUGUAUGGCUUAGAGCCAUACAAGUGUCCCAGGGAAACCGUUAAGGGUGCCGCCUGGGGAGUACGCCCGCAAGGGUGAAACUUAAAGGAAUUGGCGGGGGAGCACCACAAGGGGUGAAGCCUGCGGUUA
rnacentral:rRNA from 1 species